UACAGAGGUGGCAAGCGUUGUUCGGAAUUACUGGGCGUAAAGGGCGCGUAGGCGGCUUGGUCAGUCCCGUGUGAAAUCCCUCGGCUCAACUGAGGAACUGCACGGGAAACUGCCUGGCUUGAGUUCGGGAGAGGGAAGCGGAAUUCCGGGUGUAGCGGUGAAAUGCGUAGAUAUCCGGAGGAACACCGGUGGCGAAGGCGGCUUCCUGGACCGACACUGACGCUGAGGCGCGAAAGCGUGGGGAGCGAACGGG
rnacentral:rRNA from 1 species